GGAUUAGAUACCCUGGUAGUCCACGCCGUAAACGAUGAGUACUAGUUAUUGGAGGUAUUGACCCCUUCAGUGACGUAGCUAACGCAUUAAGUACUCCGCCUGGGAAGUACGGUCGCAAGACUAAAACUCAAAGGAAUUGACGGGGGCCCGCACAAGCGGUGGAUUAUGUGGUUUAAUUCGAAGCAACGCGCAGAACCUUACCUAGGCUUGAAAUCCUUCGAAUCCCAAGUAAUGUUGGGAGUGCCCGCAAGGGAAUGAAGUGACAGGUGCUGCAUGGCUGUCGUCAGCUCGUGCUG
rnacentral:rRNA from 1 species